rnacentral:lncRNA from 1 species
CGAAAGGUGCAAUGCUGUCUAUUUUGAAGAGCAAACUAGCAUUUAUCUGCGCAAUGCACGGGAUAUAUCUUUUAAUCAAAAAAUAUAUCAUAUCUAACUUAUUAUUUAUUAAUCAUAUAAUUAUUUUUUAAAAAUAAUAUUAUUUAAGAUUAAUUAUUUUUAAUAAUCAAAUUCAAGAAAUCUAAAUAGAAUACAACCAAAAUAAUAUGAAAAAAAAUAAAAUAAAAAAUCAAGAGAGAAAGUGAGGGUUGGACUGUGGAGGAUGUCGAAGGC